rnacentral:rRNA from 1 species
UACAGAGGUGGCAAGCGUUGUUCGGAAUUACUGGGCGUAAAGGGCGUGUAGGCGGCCUUCUAAGUCAGACGUGAAAUCCCCCGGCUUAACCUGGGAACUGCGUCUGAUACUGGAGGGCUAGAGUAUGGGAGAGGAAUGUAGAAUUCCAGGUGUAGCGGUGAAAUGCGUAGAUAUCUGGAGGAAUACCGGUGGCGAAGGCGGCAUUCUGGACCAUAACUGACGCUGAGACGCGAAAGCUAGGGGAGCAAACGGG